UACGUAGGGUGCAAGCGUUAAUCGGAAUUACUGGGCGUAAAGCGUGCGCAGGCGGUUUUGUAAGUCUGACGUGAAAUCCCCGGGCUCAACCUGGGAAUUGCGUUGGAGACUGCAAGGCUAGAAUCUGGCAGAGGGGGGUAGAAUUCCACGUGUAGCAGUGAAAUGCGUAGAGAUGUGAAGGAACACCGAUGGCGAAGGCAGCCCCCUGGGUCAAGAUUGACGCUCAUGCACGAAAGCGUGGGGAGCAAACAGG
rnacentral:rRNA from 1 species